CGGUACAAAAGAAAGAGAUAGAGAGAGAGAGAGAUUUUUAUUUUAAAUUUUAAUUUUUAAAAUUUAUAAUUUAUAAUUUUAAAUUAUAAAUUUUAAAGUUUAAAUUUUAAAUUUGAUAUUUUUAAAUUUUAAAUUUUAAAUAUGAUAUUUUUAGUUUUUAAAUUUUAAAUUUGAUAUUUUAUAUCUUUCAAAUUUAAGUUUGGUCUUAAAUUUAAAAUUAGAUAUUUAAAAUUAAAAUUUUAAAUUUAAUUUCAAAUUUUAAAAUGUAAAAGUUAAAGAUUUCAAUUUAAAAUUUUCAAUUUAAAAAUUUAAAUUCAAUUAUAGAGGUAAUAUCAUUAUUUUCUAUUUACAACUACGAACUAUUCCACCUUAUACUCACAUUUUCAUCCAAACAAAAAUAUACCCUUGUUCCUACGAAAAUCCAUACUUGUACCUAUCCCCGGUAUAACUUGUUCUUGCUUAUACCUGAACCAAACAAAGCCAUAAAGUUAUCCGAUAUAUUUGUCAGAUAAGCUACGCAGAAGCAUCGAGACUUUAAUGAUGGGACUUCUGAAUUAAAUAUUAGCUCAGUUAGACAUGUAUAGUAUUUAAAGCCUUCAAUAUUCAAAUUUUAUAAUUUUUUAAAUUAUUUAUCUGGUGAUCAAAAUAGUCUCAAAAUAAAUGACGAAAAAAUAAAAACUUUCAUAAAAAGCGAUGAUAUAGCAUUAAAAUUUUAAGUAAAACAUAUUUAUUUUACUUUAAAUUGUUGAAAAAAAUAUAUAUAUCAAUUUUUUUAUCUAAUUUUAAUAUUUUUGCACUAUUAAACUUGCAAAUCGAUUAUUAUAUCUACUAUUAAGUUGUUGCUUUUGAGCCAUCUUGAUCGCCAUUUAAUAUCGAAAAAUUAUAAAAUUUGAAUCCUAAAACAUUCAAAUACUUUAAAUAAAGUCUAACAAAGCAGAUCAUCCAUUCAUAAAUUCGAUCAAAUCAAAAAUAAAGUAAAAGCACAAAAACCUUUCUGUUUUUAGA
rnacentral:lncRNA from 1 species